rnacentral:lncRNA from 1 species
GGGGCUCCGCGGGCUCCGCACGCCGGGCUGCGGCCGCAGAGACAGCGCCGAGGGGGCUCCCGGGGCAGCGCAGCCCCGCCAGGCUCCAGACAGAUGAGUAGGGAGCUGGCUACAGAAGAGGAACAGAUUCCAGUUUUCCAGCUGGUCGCCCUGUACAGAGAAAAACCCUCGAGAUCAAAGCUGGGAGAAAGAAGACAAGUGGUGGAGGAGUCAAUGUGUGACAUGGAACAGGUCUGA